GACGAACGCUGGCGGCGUGCCUAAUACAUGCAAGUCGAGCGAACCAAUGGGAGCUUGCUCCCUGAGGUUAGCGGCGGACGGGUGAGUAACACGUGGGUAACCUGCCUGUGAGAUUGGGAUAACUCCGGGAAACCGGAGCUAAUACCGGAUAAUAUUUUGAACCGCAUGGUUCAAAAUUGAAAGACGGCUUCGGCUGUCACUUACAGAUGGACCCGCGGCGCAUUAGCUAGUUGGUGAGGUAACGGCUCACCAAGGCGACGAUGCGUAGCCGACCUGAGAGGGUGAUCGGCCACACUGGGACUGAGACACGGCCCAGACUCCUACGGGAGGCAGCAGUAGGGAAUCUUCCGCAAUGGACGAAAGUCUGACGGAGCAACGCCGCGUGAACGAUGAAGGCCUUCGGGUCGUAAAGUUCUGUUGUUAGGGAAGAACAAGUACCAGAGUAACUGCUGGUACCUUGACGGUACCUAACCAGAAAGCCACGGCUAACUACGUG
rnacentral:rRNA from 1 species